rnacentral:rRNA from 1 species
UACGUAGGGGGCUAGCGUUGUCCGGAAUCAUUGGGCGUAAAGCGCGUGUAGGCGGUUCGGUAAGUCCGCUGUGAAAGUCGGGGGCUCAACCCUCGGAUGCCGGUGGAUACUGUCGGACUAGAGUACGGAAGAGGCGAGUGGAAUUCCUGGUGUAGCGGUGAAAUGCGCAGAUAUCAGGAGGAACACCGGUGGCGAAGGCGGGUCUCUGGGCCGAUAUUGACGCUGAGGAGCGAAAGCGUGGGGAGCGAACAGG